ACAGCUAUUAAUCUAAAGCCACACUAGCUAUACAACAGCCUACAGCCUACAUACUGACACACUGGAGCGAUGCGUCCACAGCUUGAGGAGACGGUUUUGUUCUGCUGUGAAUAAAUGAGCGCUUAAAGUCGAGUGGAGGAGACAUUUUAUCGUUAAAUCUUGAAGCCAUGUAGUAAAAUAACAGCAGUGAAGGGCUGCCGGGCUGUGUCUCUCCACCUCCUUUUCCAACCCCUCAGUAGCUACUCUGUCUGGCCAUUCUCUCACACGCUGCCAAUGACGGUGAAGCCUCUGACGAAACUGAGUAGUCUACGAGAAUGAAGAUUAUUACACGUAUGGCGACCGAGGAAAAGACGCCUGAGCUGUUUCACAUGUUUUAAUGCCUCUGAAAGACUGCAGCGCCUCGAAGAAAGCGAUGCUAACCAGCCGUGUAGCCAAGCUGAACCAAAGUGAAUGAAUGGCUGACAGAGAAAGUGUCUCUCUCUUCCAGCGAAGAAUGGAUACAGCUUUAUCAACACUGGGGAACUGGUGACCGGGAUACUGACCCCACAUUUCAUUCACUACUAUGCUGUGGAAUGGAGCUGGGCUUCUGUUUGUGAUAGUAUUUCCCUUAAAUUCAGCCCAGAUAUCAGAGCACCCUCCAGUCAUGAGUAGCGACCUCUUCCCAGGUGUAGUGUACACACCUGGACCGUCGUACCUGAGUCUGAUCCUGCUGGCUUUCACCGUAGGACUGUCCGGCAGUAUUUACCUCUGUGUGUUGCGCUACAUCUGCGCUGGAUGCUGCCAGCCAAUAGGAGUCGGGCCAGAAGAUGACAGCCUAUCUGGAGUGGUCUGAAAAUAUGCUCUUAAGGUGCCAAAAAGGGUUCGUUGAAGCAAUGCCACAGAAGAACUGCUCUGGGACGGAGAGGCUUUGUGAUUACAUGUAAAUGGGAUGUAUGUGUUUGCACAUACAUUUUUAAACUUUAAAGAACCUCCACAUAAUUGUUCUGUACUAAUUAAAGCUUUUCCGAAGCCAAGAAUCACGUAGGAACCUUUGUUUUAAAGACUGUAGGGUUCUGUUUGUGUGCAUUAGGACUAGCUACUGUAUGUUAUUUUGACCCUUCUCUCUUUUCUGCAGAGCCUGGUACCUGAAUGAUAUGAUGGAAAUGGCAAAAUGGUAAGAAUAGCAGGGGUGACUGGAGUAAAGGCUAUGAGAGAACACUGAUUGCAUUAUUACAGUGCCCAAAAGGAAUUCCGAUUAUGGCUCUGAUCAUUAUGUUUUGCUGAGAAAGGCACAGCCAGUGCUGAUUUUAUUCCUUUGAGUGUCUUGGGGGUGAAAAUGAAGUAUACAGUAAUUGGCCUCACACAGCACUAUUGAUGACUAAUAAUGCACUGUGAUAGCAGUAGUAAUGAUGGUCAUUAUGGACACAGAAAUGGUCAUUAUGGGCACAUAACUGAAUUGUCUUUACACACGUAAUUCGUGUUAUAUAUACAUAUUGUUAACAUUAUUGAAAUCUUUCAUGAGUGAGUGGCCUCCAGAGCCUCUUGUUUGAUUGACAAGUUGUCCUCUGGGGAGGUAAUCUGCAGGCUGCAGCUAUGGUUGCCGCGAGGAGCCUGUUGCCAUGGCAAUAGUUCUCUCUGCCUGCCUCUAGAUGGGGCUGCUCUAUUAUCAAUGUGGUGAUCAGAAUUUGUCAGCCAUGAAAUGGACUUGUAGUGAUGAAUGUAGGUAACAGGCUGUGCCAUUCCCAAAUUUGUAAACAUUUAUGUGUGUAUAUGUAUAUAUCUGUUUAUGAAAAACU